rnacentral:rRNA from 1 species
UACGUAGGCAGCGAGCGUUGUUCGGAAUUACUGGGCGUAAAGAGUGUGUAGGCGGUGCUCCAAGUCUGUUGUGAAAUCUCCCGGCUUAACUGGGAGGGUGCAGCGGAAACUAGAGUGCUAGAGGGUGGGAGAGGUAAGCGGAAUUCCUGGUGUAGCGGUGAAAUGCGUAGAUAUCAGGAGGAACACCUGUGGUGUAGACAGCUUACUGGACCACUUCUGACGCUGAGACACGAAAGCGUGGGUAGCAAACAGG